AGUACACUGAAUGACAAGGUAGAAAGUACACUGAAUGACAGGGUAGAAAGUACACUGAAUGACAAGGUAGAAAGUACACUGAAUGACAGGGUAGAAAGUACACUGAAUGACAGGGUAGAAAGUACACUGAAUGACAGGGUAGAAAGUACACUGAAUGACAAGGUAGAAAGUACACUGAAUGACAGGGUAGAAAGUACACUGAAUGACAGGGUAGAAAGUACACUGAAUGACAGGGUAGAAAGUACACUGAAUGACAGGGUAGAAAGUACACUGAAUGACAGGGUAGAAAGUACACUGAAUGACAGGGUAGAAAGUACACUGAAUGACAAGGUAGAAAGUACACUGAAUGACAGGGUAGAAAGUACACUGAAUGACAGGGUAGAAAGUACACUGAAUGACAAGGUAGAAAGUACACUGAAUGACAGGGUAGAAAGUACACUGAAUGACAGGGUAGAAAGUACACUGAAUGACAAGGUAGAAAGUACACUGAAUGACAAGGUAGAAAGUACACUGAAUGACAGGGUAGAAAGUACACUGAAUGACAGGGUAGAAAGUACACUGAAUGACAGGGUAGAAAGUACACUGAAUGACAAGGUAGAAAGUACACUGAAUGACAAGGUAGAAAGUACACUGAAUGACAGGGUAGAAAGUACAUUGAAUGACAGGGUAGAAAGUACACUGAGUGGGCCUGCAUCUCUGUGGUGUCCAUACCCUGACAAAUUGAGUGUGUUUUGAGGGCAAACGGGGGUGUAACUCAAUAUCAGGAAGGUGUUCCUAAUGUUUUGGACAGUCAGUGUACAGUGCAUGGUUAGGAGUACACAAAUGUCCUGUCCACGAUAGAGGAACAGAAGAGAAUACCUACGUAAGGGCUUCGUGACGCAUUCAUAACCCAUACAUAAUGCAUUCAUAAGCAGUACAUAAUGCAUUCAUAAGCAGUACAUAAUGCAUUCAUAAGCAGUGCAUAAUGCAUUCAUAAGCAGUACAUAAUGCAUUCAUAACGCAUUCAUAAGCAGUACAUAAUGCAUUCAUAAGCAGUAGAUAAUGCAUUCAUAAGCAGUACAUAAUGCAUUCAUAAGCAGUACAUAAUGCAUUCAUAAGCAGUACAUAAUGCAUUCAUAACGCAUUCAUAAGCAGUACAUAAUGCAUUCAUAAGCAGUACAUAAUGCAUUCAUAACCCAUACAUAAUCCAUUCAUAAGCAGCACAUAAUGCAUUCAUAAGCAGUACAUAAUGCAUUCAUAAGCAGUACAUAAUGCAUUCAUAAGCAGUACAUAAUGCAUUCAUAACCCAUACAUAAUCCAUUCAUAAGCAGCACAUAAUGCAUUCAUAAGCAGUACAUAAUGCAUUCAUAAGCAGUACAUAAUGCAUUCAUAACCCAUACAUAAUGCAUUCAUAAGCAGCACAUAAUGCAUUCAUAAGCAGUACAUAAUGCAUUCAUAAGCAGUACAUAAUGCAUUCAUAAGCAGUACAUAAUGCAUUCAUAAGCAGUACAUAAUGCAUUCAUAAGCAGUACAUAAUGCAUUCAUAAGCAGUACAUAAUGCAUUCAUAAGCAGUACAUAAUGCAUUCAUAAGCAGUACAUAAUGCAUUCAUAAGCAGCACAUAAUGCAUUCAUAAGCAGCACAUAAUGCAUUCAUAAGCAGCACAUAAUGCAUUCAUAAGCAGCACAUAAUGCAUUCAUAAGCAGUACAUAAUGCAUUCAUAAGCAGCACAUAAUGCAUUCAUAAGCAGUACAUAAUGCAUUCAUAAGCAGUGCAUAAUGCAUUCAUAAGCAGUACAUAAUGCAUUCAUAAGCAGUGCAUAAUGCAUUCAUAAGCAGUACAUAAUGCAUUCAUAAGCAGUACAUAAUGCAUUCAUAAGCAGUGCAUAAUGCAUUCAUAAGCAGUGCAUAAUGCAUUCAUAAGCAGCACAUAAUGCAUUCAUAAGCAGUACAUAAUGCAUUCAUAAGCAGUACAUAAUGCAUUCAUAAGCAGCACAUAAUGCAUUCAUAAGCAGUGCAUAAUGCAUUCAUAAGCAGUACAUAAUGCAUUCAUAAGCAGUACAUAAUGCAUUCAUAAGCAGUACAUAAUGCAUUCAUAAGCAGUGCAUAAUGCAUUCAUAAGCAGUGCAUAAUGCAUUCAUAAGCAGCACAUAAUGCAUUCAUAAGCAGUACAUAAUGCAUUCAUAAGCAGUACAUAAUGCAUUCAUAAGCAGUACAUAAUGCAUUCAUAAGCAGCACAUAAUGCAUUCAUAAGCAGUGCAUAAUGCAUUCAUAAGCAGCACAUAAUGCAUUCAUAAGCAGUGCAUAAUGCAUUCAUAAGCAGUACAUAAUGCAUUCAUAAGCAGUGCAUAAUGCAUUCAUAAGCAGCACAUAAUGCAUUCAUAAGCAGUACAUAAUGCAUUCAUAAGCAGUACAUAAUGCAUUCAUAAGCAGUACAUAAUGCAUUCAUAAGCAGUACAUAAUGCAUUCAUAAGCAGUACAUAAUGCAUUCAUAAGCAGUACAUAAUGCAUUCAUAAGCAGUGCAUAAUGCAUUCAUAAGCAGUACAUAAUGCAUUCAUAAGCAGCACAUAAUGCAUUCCACAAGUUGACAUGUUUGUUGUCACAGUGAGUCAUGUGUUAAGGUCCUAUAGCUCCGUUGGUAGAGUACGGCGCUUGAAACGGUAGGAUAGUGUGUUUGAUUCCCGGGACCCAUCAUAUGGGAACAUGAAUGCACGCGUGACCGUGUUUGCUUUGGAUAAAAUCGUACAUACUAAAAUGGCAUGUAAAUAUAGUUAAAGGCACUUGUACUUUAAUGAUCCAUGUGCAGUUGUUGAUACUUUUGUGUCACCACAUUGAUAGAAUGGAAACAUUUAAUCUGUCUCUUGAAUGUGUUGGGGAGCAGUGCUAGACCUGAGUUUAUUCCAUGUAUACCAAAUCAAAAUGUAUUUAUCUCAUGCGCCGAAUACAACAGGUGUUGACUUUACCGUGAAAUGCUUACUUACAAGCCCUUAACCCUUAGCCCUCUACUUUCUUCACUGCCUCAGC